GCUGCUAAACUGGCAUCAAAAAGUUAACUCUGAGGCAGGAACCACGAUGUGUUAACUGCUGGCCUCGAGGGCGACUUGAUUUAUCUUCGGGCUUAUUUAAAAAGCGGUGAUUAUUGCCUGUUUCUGAUCCUGAAGCUUAGCGUCUAAUAGAGGAACCAGUGAAACCAAGGGCUGGAAUUCUCCUUUGGUGAACAACAGCGACAACAAACCCUUUUACUGCUCGCCCCCACCUCCCCAAAAGCCAGCGGCCCGGAAAUGGAGCACGCUUUCAUGGUGCACACUUCAGGAAGGUCCACGCGUGGCUCAAGGAACGCUGUCCGGUCUGAGAGGCAAAUUGAGGUCUACCUGACAUCUGUAAUACAGUCUGCCUGGACACACUGACAUCUUUGCUUUCUGAAAGCCACCAUCGCCUCUGUCUAUUUAAUAAUUCCUAGAGUUCGCCAUCUGGAACAAAGUACAGAGAAUUCACUGGUCGUCCCAAGGCCACCCACUGGGUAAAAUGCAUCGCCUGGAUUUCAGCCAUUCAAUGCCCACAUCAAUAUUCCCAACAUCAGGCAUCAUCUACCAGCUGAAUUUGAGGGAUACGGAGAAGGGUGUUGUGAGCUACAUAAAUACAGCACUGUCCACUAGCAAACUCGGUGGUAUUUGUCGAUAUGUACGAUGCCUUGCCCCGGUUAACAUUCCUGUUUUGUACAUGAGGAAAUGGAGAUUUACAGGAGUCAGAGAGAUCUGAGACUGAGUUCCUGCUUUUUCGCUCACCGGCUGCACAGGUCUUAGCAAAUCACGUAAUUGUUUGGAGGUUCAGCUGUCCUCAUCAGCAACAUGGGGACAAUAUCUGAGCUCAGAGGGUGGGUGUGGGGUAAAUACAAGUACAGAGCUUGGCUCCUCUUUCUAUGGGCAGAACAUCCUGCACCACGCAUGUAACACUGGCCACCGCGCUGACUCUCCUGAAUGGGCUGCCAUCAGGGAUCUACGUAAAUACCCUGCCACGUGGCAACGCCCCUGGACUGUGCACUUGGGUGGGAAAUUUCCAGCAAGGGUUUCUGAGCAUCUAGUAUGUACCUGGACUCGUGCUUGGGCAUGGAGGCCCAGAGGCGGAUCUGACAUGCUCAUUCUGCAUAAACUCAGAGUGUGGUGGGGAACAGAGACAAGUAAACAGAAAUUAGAUGACAGA